rnacentral:rRNA from 1 species
UGCAGUCGACGGUAACAUUUCUAGCUUGCUAUUAAGAUGACGAGUGGCGGACGGGUGAGUAAUGCUUGGGAACUUGCCUUUGCGAGGGGGAUAACAGUUGGAAACGACUGCUAAUACCGCAUAAUGUCUUCGGACCAAACGGGGCUUUGGCUCCCGCGCCAAGAAAGGCCCCAGUGAAAAUAACUAGUUGGGAAGGUAACGGCUUAACCAGGGGAACAACUCUAACUGGUCUGAAAAGAAAAACAACCACACUGGGACUGAAACCCGGCCCAAACUCCUACCGGAAGCAACCGUGGGGAAUAUUGGACAAUGGGGGAAACCCUGAUGCCACCCUGCCGCGUGUGUGAAAAAAGGCUUCGGGUUGUAAAGCACUUUCCGUUGUGAAGAAAAAUUAGUAAUUAAUACCUGGCAGCCGUGACGGUUACAACAAAAAAAACACCGGCUAACUCCCUGGCCGCAGCCGCCGGAAUACCGAAGGUGGCAACGGUUAUCCGAAUUACUUGGCGUUAAGCGCAAGGCGGCGGUUUGUUUAGCUAGAUGUGAAAACCCCGGGCUCAACCUGGGAUGGGCCUUUAAAACUGGGAGAAUAAAAUCCUGGAGAAGGGAGUGGAAUU